rnacentral:rRNA from 1 species
AUUGAACGCUAGCGGGAUGCUUUACACAUGCAAGUCGAACGGCAGCGCGGACUUCGGUCUGGCGGCGAGUGGCGAACGGGUGAGUAAUGUAACGGAACGUGCCCAGUAGCGGGGGAUAACUACGCGAAAGCGUAGCUAAUACCGCAUAAGCCCUACGGGGGAAAUCAGGGGAUCGUAAGACCUUGCACUAUUGGAGCGGCCGAUCACGGAUUUGGUAGUUGGUGAGGUAACGGCUCACCAAGGCGACGAUCCGUAGCUGGUUUGAGAGGAUAAGCAGCCAGCCUGGGACUGAGGAAGGGCACAGGCUCAUUGGGGAGGCAGCAGUGGGGAAUCUUGGGGAAGGGGUGGAGCACAGUGGCAGACAGCGCGCGUGUGGGAUGAGGGCCUUCGUGUUGUAAAGCACGUUUGGCGGGAAAGAAAGUGCGCGGGCUAAUACACCGUGGAACGGAGGGUACCGGCAGAGUAGGCACCGGCUAACUACGU